GAUGAACGCUGGCGGCGUGCCUAAUACAUGCAAGUCGAGCGAACAGACGAGGAGCUUGCUCCUCUGACGUUAGCGGCGGACGGGUGAGUAACACGUGGAUAACCUACCUAUAAGACUGGGAUAACUUCGGGAAACCGGAGCUAAUACCGGAUAAUAUAUUGAACCGCAUGGUUCAAUAGUGAAAGACGGUUUUGCUGUCACUUCUCGAUGGAUCCGCGCCGCAUUAGCUAGUUGGGAAGGUAACGGCUUACCAAGGCGACGAUGCGUAGCCGAACUGAGAGGGGGAUCGGCCACACUGGAACUGGGACACGGUCCAGACUCCUACGGGAGGCAGCAGUAGGGAAUCUUCCGCAAUGGGCGAAAGCCUGACGGAGCAACGCCGCGUGAGUGAUGAAGGUCUUCGGAUCGUAAAACUCUGUUAUUAGGGAAGAACAAAUGUGUAAGUAACUAUGCACGUCUUGACGGUACCUAAUCAGAAAGCAACGGCUAACUACGUG
rnacentral:rRNA from 1 species